rnacentral:piRNA from 1 species
UUGGCCAAGAGAAUGGCGCGUAGCUGACCC